GAGCUCAAGCUGUCUUCCCUCCUCAACCCCCUAAAGUGCUGGGAUUAUGGGUGUGAGCCACUGUGCCCCGCUGAUGUGUUUCUUCUCCAUCUUGUAUGCUCCUGACUGGUCAUGGGAAAGGGAUGUUGGCCUUGGCUAGAACACCCUCACCUAGGGAUCAGCCAUCGGUAGAGGAAUGAGGUGCCUGUGGCCAGUGAUCUUUCACUCCACAUAAUUGAACCCAGAUUUCCUGGUUACUGACCCUGGGCUCUCAGGAAGAGAAGAGCUUUAGCUCUGCCUGGCCACUAUGGGGGAUGGGUGAGGCCCACUGUCUAGUUCCUCAGGGACCGUGAUCUCCUGCCUUGCUCCAAAAGGCAGGCACCUCUGUUCCCAGCUCAGAUUGAGCCCAUGGGCUCUGACCCAUUCUCCAUGUCAUUCUAGGAGAUACCCUCUUGGCCAUCCGGGCCCCAUCAGGCACCAGCCUGGAGGUGCCCAUCCCAGAGGGUCUCAAUGGGCAGAAGAAGUACCAGAUUCACCUGAAGAGUGUGAGUGGUCCCAUUGAGGUUCUGCUGGUGAACAAGGAGGCAUGGAGCUCACCCCCUGUGGCUGUGCCUGUG
rnacentral:lncRNA from 10 species